CCCGCCGGCGACCGGCGCACGGGUGAGUAACACGUAUGCGACCUGCCCCCCGCAGGGGGAUAACCGGGAGAAAUCCCGACUAAUACCGCGUAACGCCGCGGACCUGCAUGGGUCUGCGGCCAAAGGAAGCGAUUCCGGCGGGGGAUGGGCAUGCGGCGCAUUAGCUAGUCGGCGGGGUAACGGCCCACCGAGGCGACGAUGCGUAGGGGUUCUGAGAGGAAGGUCCCCCACACUGGUACUGAGACACGGACCAGACUCCUACGGAAGGCAGCAG
rnacentral:rRNA from 1 species